rnacentral:sRNA from 1 species
GUUUGCACAUUAAAGAAUGAAAAGAAGAAUGAUAUGCGUCGGAUAGAGAAGCUGGAGAGGAGCUUGUCCAAACUGAAAAACCAGAUGGCUGAACCCCUGCCCCCAGAGCCCCCAGAGCCCCCAGCAAUGUCCUCCAAGGUGGAGCUGCAGCACCUGAGGAAGGAACUAGAGAGAGUGGCAGGAGAGCUCCAGGCCCAAGUCAAAAACAAUCAGCGCAUAAGCCUCCUGAACCGGGGACAAGAAGAGAGGAUUCAGGUGCAGGAAGAGAGGCUUCGGAAGCAGGAGGAGAGGCUUGAGGAGCAGCAGGAGAGGCUUCAGCAGCUGGCCAAGCCACAGAGCAUCUUUGAGGAGCUGAACAAUGAGCACAAGAGCGCACUGCAGUUGAAGCAGCAAGUAAAGGAGCUACAGGAGAAGCUUGGUGAGGUGAAGGAGACAGAAACCUCCACCCCAUCCAAGAAGGGCUGUGAGGCGGGCAGCAGCCUCUGGGGAGGGGAGGUGCCAAGCCAGGGGCAGCUCCAGCCUGGGGGCAGGUGACCCCAGCACUCUCCAGAGCAGUACUGUGACUGUUUCUUGCUUCCUGCCCUCUGACUUUUAGAGGUGGGUAGCCCUGGGCUCCUCUCAGGUCUGGACAUCAUCAUCCCAGCUAGAGGCAUGGAGCCCC